rnacentral:rRNA from 1 species
CCGCUGAACUGAAACAUCUAAGUAGGCGGAGGAAGAGAAAACAACAGUGAUUCCGUAAGUAGUGGCGAGCGAACACGGAAGAGCCCAAACCGCGGUGCGUGCACUGCGGGGUUCGGACUGCAUAAGGGGAUUGAAUGGUUACCGGAAGGACUUUGGAAAAGUCCGCUAUAGAGGGUGAAAGCCCCGUACGGGAAAACGAUUCGAAACUCGGCAGGAUCCAGAGUACCACGAGACACGUGAAACCUUGUGGGAAUACGGGGGGACCACCCCCUAAGGCUAAAUACUACUUAGUGACCGAUAGUGCAUAGUACUGUGAAGGAAAGGUGAAAAGGACCCCGGGAGGGGAGUGAAAAAGAACCUGAAACCCUAUGUUUACAUGCAGUGGAAGUGCGAUACAUGAACGCACAACCGCGUACUUUUUGUAGAACGGUCCGGCGAGUUGCCGGUGCUGGCAAGGUUAAGGACUACAGGUCCGGAGCCGAAGGGAAACCGAGUCUUAAUAGGGCUUACAGUCAGCAUCGGCAGACCCGAAACCGGGUGAUCUAUCCAUGUCCAGGUUGAAGUUCCCGUAAAAGGGAAUGGAGGACCGAACACACAUCCGUUGAAAAGGGUGGUGAUGAGGUGUGGAUAGGGGAGAAAUUCCAAUCGAACCCGGAGAUAGCUGGUUCUCCUCGAAAUAGUUUUAGGACUAGCCUCGUUAUUAGUCUACCGGAGGUAGAGCACUGAAUUUUUGCGGGGGCGUCAAAGCCUACCAAGAGAUAUCAAACUCCGAAUGCCGGCUAGAUGAUUGACGGGAGUCAGACUGCACGAGAUAAGUUGGGUAGUCAAAAGGGAAAGAGCCCAGACCUACGGCUAAGGUCCCAAAGUGUGUGUUAAGUGGAAAAGGAUGUGGGAUUUCGAAGACAGCUAGGAUGUUGGCUUAGAAGCAGCCACACAUUCAAAGAGUGCGUAAUAGCUCACUAGUCGAGAGGUCCUGCGCCGAAAAUUUCCGGGGCUAAAACACGAUACCGAAGCUUAGGAAUGUAGCAAUACAUUGGUAGAGGAGCAAUCUCAGAGUGCCGAAGCGUUACCGUAAGGAAGCGUGGAGUUCUGAGAAGAGAGAAUGCCGGAAUGAGUAGCGAGAAUGAUGUGAGAAUCAUCAUGGCCGAAUAUCCAAGGAUUCCAGGGUAAAGCUGAUCUGCCCUGGGUAAGUCGGGACCUAAGGCGAGGGAGAAAUCCGUAGUCGAUGGACAGCAGGUUCAUAUUCCUGCACCUGACAUGAUCAGAACUGUGGGGACACAGGAACAAAACCGGACCCGGGAGAGCAAAGACCGGGCGAAGCGAAGCUAGGAGUGCGGUAGGCAAAUCCGCCGCACAAUCCGAAAGCGUGAUAGGGAGCGAAAAAUAAGUAGCGAAGCCGGUGGAGGGACUGUCGAGAAAAGCCGCUAUUGUAUCAUGUCAGCCCGUACCGCAAACCGACACAGGUGGAUGAGGAGAGAAUCCUAAGGCCGGCGGGAGAAGCAUUGUUAAGGAACUCGGCAAAAUGACCCCGUAACUUCGGGAGAAGGGGUGCCAUCCUCCGGGAUGGCCACAGAAAAUAGGCUCAAGCAACUGUUUAGCAAAAACACAGGUCUAUGCGAAACCGAAAGGUGAGGUAUAUGGGCUGACGCCUGCCCGGUGCUGGAAGGUUAAGAGGAGAGGUUAGCGCAAGCGAAGCUUUGAAUUUAAGCCCCAGUAAACGGCGGCCGUAACUAUAACGGUCCUAAGGUAGCGAAAUUCCUUGUCGGGUAAGUUCCGACCCGCACGAAAGGCGUAAUGAUUUGAGCGCUGUCUCAACAAUGCACCCGGUGAAAUUGAAGUACCAGUGAAGAUGCUGGUGACCUGCGCCAGGACGGAAAGACCCCAUGGAGCUUUACUCCAGCUUGAUACCGGGAUUCGGUGUUACUCGUACAGGAUAGGUGGGAGGCUAAGAAGGAAGGACGCCAGUCUUUCCGGAGCCGCUGUUGGGAUACCACCCCUGUGGCACUGGAUUUCUAACCUACAUCCGUAAUCCGGAUGGGGGACAAUGUCAGGUGGGGAGUUUGACUGGGGCGGUCGCCUCCGAAAGAGUAUCGGAGGCGCUCAAAGGUUCCCUCAGAAUGGUUGGAAACCAUUCGAAGAGCGCAAAGGCAGAAGGGAGCUUGACUGCGACACCGACGGGUGGAGCAGGUACGAAAG